rnacentral:rRNA from 1 species
CUUCCGUAGGGUGACCUGCGGAAGGAUCAUUACCGAGUGUAGGGUUCCUAGCGAGCCCAACCUCCCACCCGUGUUUACUGUACCUUAGUUGCUUCGGCGGGCCCGCCAUUCAUGGCCGCCGGGGGCUCUCAGCCCCGGGCCCGCGCCCGCCGGAGACACCACGAACUCUGUCUGAUCUAGUGAAGUCUGAGUUGAUUGUAUCGCAAUCAGUUAAAACUUUCAACAAUGGAUCUCUUGGUUCCGGCAUCGAUGAAGAACGCAGCGAAAUGCGAUAACUAGUGUGAAUUGCAGAAUUCCGUGAAUCAUCGAGUCUUUGAACGCACAUUGCGCCCCCUGGUAUUCCGGGGGGCAUGCCUGUCCGAGCGUCAUUGCUGCCCAUCAAGCACGGCUUGUGUGUUGGGUCGUCGUCCCCUCUCCGGGGGGGACGGGCCCCAAAGGCAGCGGCGGCACCGCGUCCGAUCCUCGAGCGUAUGGGGCUUUGUCACCCGCUCUGUAGGCCCGGCCGGCGCUUGCCGAACGCAAAUCAAUCUUUUUCCAGGUUGACCUCGGAUCAGGUAGGGAUACCCGCUGAACUUAAGCAUAUCAAUAAGCGGAGGA